UACAGAGGUCUCGAGCGUUAGGCGGAAUCACUGGGCUUAAAGCGUGUGUAGGUGGAUGCCUAAGUACCUUGUGAAAUCCCACAGACUUACUGUGGAACUGCUUGGUAUACUGGGUGUCUUGAGUCACUCAGGGGCGAGCGGAACAAAUGGUGGAGCGGUGAAAUGCGUAGAUAUCAUCUGGAACGCCAAUGGUGCAGACAGGCUGCUGGAAUGAACUGACGCUGAGGCACGAAAGCUAGGGGAGCGAACGGG
rnacentral:rRNA from 1 species